GCAUCUGCGUCCCAGCGCCGAAGCGAGGCAGGGCAGGUGUGCGCACAGGAGCGGCGGGCGGGCAGGACGUGCCGAGACCCGCGCUCCGCCGCGCUCGCCCCGAGCGGCAGCUGCAGCCCCGCGGGCGGAGCCGGCGCGGCCCGGUUGUGGCCGAGGGGAGCGGGGCGCGGCGGGGCGGGAUCAGGUGUGCAGGUGUGCGCGGCGUCGGCCUCAGCCUGCUCCUGCUGCAGCGCAGCGCGAGCGCCCGGCACAGCCCCGGCGGCGGCGGCGGCGGAGUGCUCGUCGCGGUGACAUGGCACAGAUCCGAGCGCGGAGAUCUCGGCGAUGGCCCGAGUUGUUUGCAUGGUGCAAGUGACUCUUAACAUGUGGGAUGGGAAAAUGAUAGUUCUGCAAAUGACCUAGAAACAAAAAGUCACAGUUGCAGCACAUGCUAAAGACAACGUGAGCCGUCUUCUGAGGAAGAGCAGAAGGCAAAGCUUGCAAAGUGCAAUGAAACAUACUCGGCCUCUUCUGAAAGAAAAAAUGCAUCUUUAUAUAUGGGUGACUUUGCAGUUGUUUAUACAGAUGGCUGCUGCUCAAGUAAUGUAUGACUAAAAGAUUAAAUCUCUUCUGGGGAGAGUAGAAAUAACGAAAUAAGCUAGGAAUUUGAACAAAAUUAUAACAAGACUCAACCUGGACAAAUGCAAGGCCUUAUCUUAAGGGAAAUUGCAUUCAGGCUUUUCUGCAAGUGUUUUCACAGGAUUGCACUGAAGGAUUUUCCUUAGGCAGCCUGCAAAGCAGUUGAGCAAGCAGAGAGUCAAAACAUCAUGAAACUGGUUAUUUAUACUGACAGCAAGUUCACUAUUAUUGGUGUGACAAGUUGGGUUAACAACUGGAAAAGUAAUGCCUGAAGAACAAGUACAAGAAGAAGUGUAUAAACAAAGGGGACUUUGAAACACUUGAUAAGCUUACAGAGGGCAUGGAAAUAAAGUGGUUGGAUGCUGGCAACUAUGAGACUAACACAGAGCUGGCUAGGACUUGGAGAGAGAGGAACUGUUUGUGGAUGGAUAUAAUAACUAUAGACAAAGAUCAACUUCCAAAUUACAAAGACAAGAUAAAAAUAUUUUAUGAAGAACAUUUACACCUGGAUGAACAAAGUCACUGCAUCCUUAAAAGAAGUGGCUACUCUGAUGUUUGAGACAAAGAUAACAAGUGGAUUGGGAUUUUCAUGGAAAAGGGAGACGUGAUUACUCUUCCUGCCAGCAUAUACCACUGAUUUAUACUGGAUGAAAAUGUUUGUGUAUAACUUUAUAUCUUACAUUCCCAUAAAGCUGCUUUAACAAACAAGUCUACAGAUUUAUACUCCAGAUUAGUGACCAAGUAUAUUAGGAUUUGCAGCUCAUCAUCAAACUAUAUUACACCAGAAAUAUGAGGAACUGAUUUACUGAAUCUGAGCCUUGGAGUUCUGUCAGCAAUCCAGAUCCAUCUCAUCAGCAGAUAGAUACACAAGUGAUAUGAGAUCUCCUUUCAGCAUUUUGAGGUACACGCGCAGAAACCCCUGCACAGGUCUAAAGAGCAGAUCACCAAGGAAGCAUAACAAGGACUUGCAGGGACAAAAUCAGGAAGACAAAGGUAAAGAGAAUGCUCAGUUGGACUGUGCCUCCCCAGCCCUGGGGCUAGCUCUGUGCAUAUCUCCAUGAGAAUGACCUCGCUCCUCUUGAAAGUCUCUUGUCACUGCGGGUCAUCCAAGGUCUGCAGCACAAGCCUUUUCUGACCAGUGCAUGUGUUCUUCCCACAACCUGAGUCAGAGGUGAACAGACUGCAGAUGGUCCUAGUGCAGGUCUGCAAGGAAAAAUGAUAGAAAUAUGAUUCUGGAUACAUAACCAGUUAGAAAAAAUACUAAGUAUGGGAACAGUGGAUCAUGUGGCAAAGAGACUACUUAUAAAAGUAAAUUAGAAUGCAUACAACCAACAACAUAACGGAUCAGAUCCUGUAGCAUUACAGAGUGUUUAGUGCCAUUGGAUUCAGUGCCACUGGGUUACAAUUGAAAAUGACACCUAUCUGUUGUAUUCAUCAAAAGAAAAAAAAAAGAUACCAAUAGUUUGUUUCUUUAUUUUGGUGUUUUUCUUAUUUCAUUGUAUUUAAACAGUUGCUAAGGAAUUUUGGUGGCAUAUAAGUUCACAACACUGAGAAAACUUUAUGUAAGCAAUGAUCUAACAAAAUUAAUUGUCUUGUCUAUUCAUCUUACAUGAAUUUGGUUCAGAUUCAGCUAUAAAAUAUUAAUCCCAACCCA